rnacentral:rRNA from 1 species
GACGAACGCUGGCGGCGUGCUUAACACAUGCAAGUCGAACGGAAAGGCCCUGCUUUUGUGGGGUGCUCGAGUGGCGAACGGGUGAGUAACACGUGAGUAACCUGCCCUUGACUUUGGGAUAACUUCAGGAAACUGGGGCUAAUACCGGAUAGGAGCUCCUGCUGCAUGGUGGGGGUUGGAAAGUUUCGGCGGUUGGGGAUGGACUCGCGGCUUAUCAGCUUGUUGGUGGGGUAGUGGCUUACCAAGGCUUUGACGGGUAGCCGGCCUGAGAGGGUGACCGGCCACAUUGGGACUGAGAUACGGCCCAGACUCCUACGGGAGGCAGCAGUGGGGAAUAUUGCACAAUGGGCGGAAGCCUGAUGCAGCAACGUCGCGUGCGGGAUGACGGCCUUCGGGUUGUAAACCGCUUUCGCCUGUGACGAAGCGUGAGUGACGGUAAUGGGUAAAGAAGCACCGGCUAACUACGUGCCAGCAGCCGCGGUGAUACGUAGGGUGCGAGCGUUGUCCGGAUUUAUUGGGCGUAAAGGGCUCGUAGGUGGUUGAUCGCGUCGGAAGUGUAAUCUUGGGGCUUAACCCUGAGCGUGCUUUCGAUACGGGUUGACUUGAGGAAGGCAGGGGAGAAUGGAAUUCCUGGUGGAGCGGUGGAAUGCGCAGAUAUCAGGAGGAACACCAGUGGCGAAGGCGGUUCUCUGGGCCUUUCCUGACGCUGAGGAGCGAAAGCGUGGGGAGCGAACAGGCUUAGAUACCCUGGUAGUCCACGCUGUAAACGGUGGGUACUAGGUGUGGGGUCCAUUCCACGGGUUCCGUGCCGUAGCUAACGCUUUAAGUACCCCGCCUGGGGAGUACGGCCGCAAGGCUAAAACUCAAAGGAAUUGACGGGGCCCCGCACAAGCGGCGGAGCAUGCGGAUUAAUUCGAUGCAACGCGUAGAACCUUACCUGGGUUUGACAUGGAUCGGGAGUGCUCAGAGAUGGGUGUGCCUCUUUUGGGGUCGGUUCACAGGUGGUGCAUGGCUGUCGUCAGCUCGUGUCGUGAGAUGUUGGGUUAAGUCCCGCAACGAGCGCAACCCUUGUUCACUGUUGCCAGCACGUUAUGGUGGGGACUCAGUGGAGACCGCCGGGGUCAACUCGGAGGAAGGUGGGGAUGACGUCAAGUCAUCAUGCCCCUUAUGUCCAGGGCUUCACGCAUGCUACAAUGGCUGGUACAGAGAGUGGCGAGCCUGUGAGGGUGAGCGAAUCUCGGAAAGCCGGUCUCAGUUCGGAUUGGGGUCUGCAACUCGACCUCAUGAAGUCGGAGUCGCUAGUAAUCGCAGAUCAGCAACGCUGCGGUGAAUACGUUCCCGGGGCUUGUACACACCGCCCGUCAAGUCAUGAAAGUUGGUAACACCUGAAGCCGGUGGCCUAACCGUUGUGGGGGAGCCGUCGAAGGUGGGACUGGU